rnacentral:rRNA from 1 species
AUUGAACGCUGGCGGCGGGCCUAACACAUGCAAGUCGAGCGGAUGAAGGGAGCUUGCUCCUGGAUUCAGCGGCGGACGGGUGAGUAAUGCCUAGGAAUCUGCCUGGUAGUGGGGGAGAACGUCCGGAAACGGGCGCUAAUACCGCAUACGUCCUGAGGGAGAAAGUUGGGGAUCGUCGGACCUCACGCUAUCAGAGGAGCCUAGGUCGGAUUAGCUAGUUGGUGGGGUAAAGCCCUACCAAGGCGACGAUCCGUAACUGGUCUGAGAGGAUGAUCAGUCACACUGGAACUGCGACACGGUCCAGACUCCUACGGGAGGCCGCAGUGGGGAAUAUUGGGCAAUGGGCGAAAGCCUGAUCCAGCCCCGCCGCGUGUGUUAAGAAGGUCUUCGGAUUGUAAAGCACUUUAAGUUGGGAGGAAGGGCAGUAAGUUAAUACCUUGCUGUUUUCACCUUACCACCCGAAUAAGCACCGCCUAACUUCGUG